rnacentral:rRNA from 1 species
AUACGUAGGGUGCAAGCGUUAAUCGGAAUUACUGGGCGUAAAGCGUGCGCAGGCGGUUAUGUAAGACAGAUGUGAAAUGCCCGGGCUCAACCUGGGAAUUGCAUUUGUGACUGCAUGGCUAGAGUGUGUCAGAGGGGGGUAGAAUUCCACGUGUAGCAGUGAAAUGCGUAGAUAUGUGGAGGAAUACCGAUGGCGAAGGCAGCCCCCUGGGAUAACACUGACGCUCAUGCACGAAAGCGUGGGGAGC